rnacentral:sRNA from 1 species
GGAAGGAUCAUUAUUGAAAUAAACCUGAUGGGUUGUUGCUGGUUCUCUAGGGAGCAUGUGCACGCCUUGUCAUCUUUAUAUCUCCACCUGUGCACUUUUUGUAGACCUUUCAGGUCUAUGUUGCUUCAUUUACCCCAAUGUAUGUUAAUAGAAUGUUGUGCCUAUAAUAAUAUAUACAACUUUCAGCAACGGAUCUCUUGGCUCUCGCAUCGAUGAAGAACGCAGCGAAAUGCGAUAAGUAAUGUGAAUUGCAGAAUUCAGUGAAUCAUCGAAUCUUUGAACGCACCUUGCGCUCCUUGGUAUUCCGAGGAGCAUGCCUGUUUGAGUGUCAUUAAUAUAUAUAUCAAACUUCUCUUUGUUGAGUGGUUUGGAUGUGGGGGUUUGCUGGCCUUCUUUAAAAAGGUUCAGCUCCUCUGAAAUGCAUUAGCAGAACAACCUUGUUCAUUGGUGUGAUAACUAUCUACGCUAUUGAAUGUGAGGGGCAGUUCAGCUUUCUAACGGUCUUUGGACAAUUCAUCAUUAAUGUGACCUCAAAUCAGG